rnacentral:lncRNA from 1 species
CAGCCACAGCAGCUUGGGAUCUAAGCCCUGUCUGCAACCUACACCACAGCUCACAGCAACACUGGAUGUUUAACCCACUGAGUGAGGCCAGGGAUCGAACCCACCUCCUCAUGGAUAAGAGUCAGGUUCAUUACUGCUGAUCCACAACAGGUAUUCCCAAGACAGGGCUUUCAAACCAUCCCCCAGCCAUCUGGGACACGGUCAUCCAGAAGGCUGUCCUCGUGUCCUGGGGAGACCAAAGUCUUCUUGGAUCCAUUCAAAAAAUAUUUACUCAGCACCUGCUCUACACUAGGUACUAUUCCAGCCACUGAGGAUGGAGCAGUGAUCCCUUCCCCAUGGGGCUUACCGUCCACUGGGGAGACAAAUAACAAACAUAUAAACAUGUAAACAUAUAGCAUGGGGUCAAGAGAUAUUAUGGGUUGAACGGAGGGAGUUCCCCAAAAUUCAUGUGUUUAAGUCCUAUCUCAGUCCAUUUGGGUUACUAUAACACAUAGCAUAGGCUAGGUGGCUUAUAAAUGACAGAAAUUUCUCUCUCACGGUUCCGGAAGCUGGGAAGUCCAAAGUCAAAGCAGAUUUGGUGUCUGGUGAGAGUUCUCUCCCUGGUUCACAGACAGCUGUGUUCUCGCACAGUGGAAGGAGCAAAGGAGCUUUCUGGGGUCUCUCUCUCUCUCUCUUUUUUUUUUUUUUUUUUUUUUUUUGGUCUUUUUGUCUCUUUUUAGUGCGGCCAUAGAAAAGACAAAAAAAAAAAGAGAGAGAGAGAGACAGAUACAUACAGAGGGAACAAUGUGAGCAGGCACGGGAGGAAGACAGACACCCACAAACCAUGGAGCAGGGCCUGGAGCAGACAGACCCUUCCCUACAGCCCUUCGAAGGAACCUACCCUGUCCACACCUUGAUGUUGACCUCUGGUCUCCAGAACCACGUGGCAAUAGCCUCUGCUGUUUAAGCCACCCAGGGGGUGGUACCUUGUUACAGCAGCAAACUAAUACAGGUGGUGAGACGUGCUCUGAGGAAAGACAGAGCAGGGUCAGGGGCGGAAAGUCACAGGGGACAGGAGCAAUAGAUAGGGUCAUCGGGGAGUUCCCGUUGUGGCUCAGUGGGUUAAGAACCCCACAUAGUCUCCGUGAGGAUGUGCGUUCAGUCCCUGGCCUCGAGCAUGAGGUUAAGGAUCUAGCAUUGUUGUGGUUGCCAUAGGCUGGCAGCUGCAGCUCUAAUUCAACCCCUAAUCUGGGAACUUCCAUAUGUUGGGGGUUCGGCCAUAAAAAGAACAACAACAACAACAACAAAAAAAAAGGUCAUCAGAGUGAGCCCAUGUUGACCUCCAUGCUUCCAAAGAGGCCCACUUGUUUGCUCCAUCAGUAUCGCCCCAUCCCCACCCCCCAGGGCUUCUCUUGUAGACAAAACAGUCCCAGAGGGUCCCAGGCAUAUUUUUACACGUGUGCUCACACCUGACUCCAUGCAUUGUGUGUCCAAGUUAAGUGGCGGCUAUUGCUCCUUAAAAGGUUUUCACUUCCCUAGUUGUUCCCUCUCUCUCUCUCUUCUCAACCACCCAUAAACCUAUCAACUUUCCCAUGAAGAAGCAAUGGGACGCAACUCAGAGUUGACUCCUAGAAAGAGUCAAGGUCUUCCAAAGAUGUCUCCUCUCUAUUAUACCCCUUCCCUGUGACCUAGGCAGGACCCAGGGUGGCCGUAGAACUACAUCCUGGCCUGAGUGUACUCUGCAACCUAAAUCCGAUCAGCACAGGUGCUCACAUACCAAGGUGACCCAAUCCUCAUCCCAACAACACAAACCUCUAACCAGACAGCGUUGCUGACAGGAAUGGGCAACAGAGCAGUGGCUCUUCACCUCUGGGGAGUAAAUAAGUCCCUUUAUACUGUGAUGAAGUCAUGGAUCCUCGCCCCAGAAACAUAAUUUUACACAUAGAAUUUAUAGGGUUCAUGGACCUGCAAAGCUCAUCUAUGGCUCCUUUCUAGGUAGUGGAAUCCAGGGAAAUAACCUCUGCCAUGGCAAGAACCACCAAGAAACAAAGACAAAGGAUAAAACGGGGAGCAGACAAGAAGGAAAAGGCUUCAAAACCUAUCACUGAAAGAGGACUGAUGGCCUUAAUAUAUAGAAAGUGCCUGCAAAUCAAUAAGAAAAAGACCAGAAACCCAAGGGAAGAUGGUGGAUGGACAUGAACAAGUAACAAAAAUGAAGUAUAAAUUGUUGUCAGACAUAUGAAAAUAUGCUCAACUCCACUUAUAAAUAUGAGAAACUACACAUAAAACAAAAUACCAUCUUUAAUCCACUAGAUUGGCAAAGAUAAAAAGUCUGAGAACGCCUUAUAUUGACAAAGAUGUGGCAAGAGAUCUCCACCCCAGGGUGAUGCAAGUAAAACCUGGGACAACCUCUAGGGCAGGCAAUUUGGCAAUAUCCCUAACAGUUAGUGAUACCCUUUUGCAUAAGGCUAGGAACUUAUCCCUCAGAUAAGCCUGAAACAUUUACAAGAUGACAAACGGGUGUAGGUAUUUACUUCAGCACAAUUUGGGAAUAACAAAAAAUUGUAUACCAUCUAAAUGCCCUUUUUUGUUUGUUUGUUUGUUUUGCAUAGGCAUGCAAAAGUUCCUGGGCCAGGGCCAGGAAUUAAACCCAGGCCACAGCAGUGACAAUGUCAGAUCCCCAACCUCUAGGCCACCAAGGAACUCCCCUACUCCUUAAUUGUGCUUAAUUUUUAUGUAACAUCCACUGACUCGCUCAUCAAGGAUUAGCUAAGUAAAUACGGUACCUCCAUAUAGCAAGUAGUAUGCAGUAAUUUAAAAGGGCAGCAGUCUAGUCCCAAACACUCUGGGGAUCCAAGGAAUAUUCUGGCCUCAAGUUUCUUUGCAGUUAGGAUGCUUAGGGGUCUCUGCUGGGUGUGUGGAUACCUUUAGGAUACUUUUGUGUGUCCUAUGGGUUUUGUCUUGAGGAAUUUGCGUCCCCACACUUCGGCUAACUUAUCGACCAGUGUGUCUCAUCAGAGACAGUGGGAGAGACCCUCUCUUCCCCGUCACUCCUGAGUUGUGGGAGGUUAGAUUACCACCAAAUAGCAUCAUGAUUAGGGAUAUUCAGGUGACAAAAGGGCUGUGUGAGUGGGAGCCAUCUCUUAACAUCCUCUUACCUCCUCUACUGCCACCAAACUGGCUCUACCCUACCUAGCUAUGCAACUUCUAAUUACUGGAUUCUUUGCGAUUUUUAAGCACUUGUGUGUGUGUUUUAAAAUUCAUUUGGGAGAAAAAAUAAAUAAAUAAAUAAAAUUCAUUUGGGGAGUUCCCGAUGUGGCUUAGUGGAUUAAGGACCUGACUAUAGUGUCCAUGAGGAUGUGGGGUCGAUCCCUGGCCUUGAACUGGCGUUGCUGCAGUGUAGGUCAUAGAUGCAUCUCAGAUCCUGCAUUGCUGUGGCUGUGGCAUAAGCGUGCAGCUGCAGUUCCAAUUUGACCCCUAGCUCAGGAACUUCCAUGUGCCGCAAAUGCGACCAUAAAAAGAAAAAAAAAUUUCAUUGGGUUAAAUUUUGGAAUAGGUAAAACAGACACAUGGUCUAAAAGGGAAAGGUUUCAGGAGGUAAUUCUGCCUUCAGCUGAGUGCCUCGUAAUGGGUUCUCCCCAGAGGCAACCUUGCUUCCAAUUUCCUGUAUUUCCUCUAGAUAUCCUCCGUCUGCAUACAAGUGUACAUACAUUUGAGACUCUCUAUGAAUACAUUUGUAAAUGUACACAUAUAGAAAGAUAUAUUUUUACACCGUACAUGCUGUUCAGUAUCUUGCCUUGUUCACUUAGCAAUAUGUCUUAUAUAUCCUUCUCCCAAAUGACUACAGAAUAUCCUUAUUCUUUUUAAUUAUUGCAUAGUAUUCGCUAUAUGGAGGUACCAUAUUUACGUAGUACUUCCAAUAUCUCCACAUUUCAGGUGGAGAAGCAGCAAACUAGGUCUGCAAGGUGGGGCGGGGAUGCUGCCCACUUAGGUUAGGGAGCCAGCCUGGACUCAGACUAAGACCCUGGACUCUGGCCCUGUCUCCCCCAGAAAGCAGUGGAUGCCCAGCCGCACUGCCUAUCUUCCCUUUCUGGGUUAAGAACUUCUUCCCCAGCUGCUCAGCUGUGAGCUCGCCCCAGGAACUACCCCCAGCAUGGGUCUGAGGCCAUGCCCCCUGCCCAGAGCCACCCCCAUCCAAUGCCGGGUCCAAAGGUACAAAAGCCCAGUCCCCUUGCCCCACCUGGACCCCUCAGUGGAUACAAAGAUAUAAAACUGGAGUUCCUGCUAUGCUGCAACAGGACUGGCAGCAUCCCUGCAGCACCAGGGCACAGGCUCAAUCCUGCCCAGUAUGGUAGGUUAAACUAUCCAGCAUUGCUGCGGCAGCAACAUGGGUCACAAAUGCGGCUCAGAUCCAAUCCCUGGCCUAGGAACUCCGUAAGUCCGGGGGGAGGGGGGCAAAAAAUAAAGAUAUAAAGCCCAGGGAGUUCCCAUUGUAGCUCAGUGGGUUAAGGACCUGACACUGUCUCCAUGAGGAUGCAAGUUUGAUCCCUGGCCUCAUUCAUUGGGUUAGGAUCUGGCGUUGCUGCAAGCUGCAGCGUAGGUCAAAGAUGCCACUCAGAUCCCGGUGUCGCCAUGGCUGUGGGAACUUCCAUAUGCUGCAGGUGUGAUUGUAAAAAUAAAUUAAAGAAAAAAGAUAUAAAGCCCAGUUUGGACAGCUCAGCUCUGAAGCAUAGCGGGCACUAGGGGGUGGGGGGGUGGGGGUAACUUCAGCUGGUCCUGCAUCGGGGGCCCAACUUCUCCCUCUGCCCCCUGCUGCCUGCCCUUCCCUUCGCCUCUCUUCCCCUCACUGGUUUUGUUCCUCAGUCUAUGCCCUAAGACCACAUUUCCCCCUUCUCAAGGUCUGCUUUCCAGAAAAUCACCUACAACACAGUUCUAACACUCUACAAAGGUGUUGAGGGUUGGACUGUGUCCUGCAAAGAUGCUAUGUUCACGUCCCAACCCCUGGGUCCCUGGGAACGUGGCCUCUUGGUAAAUAGAGUCCUUAGAGAUCUCAGCAAGAUGAGUUCCUCUUAGAUUAGGGUUGACCCUAUGUCCAAUGACAGGUGACCUUAUAAGGAGAGGGAGACUUGGAGACACAGACGAUGCAUGGCGGGAAGGAGGCCACAUGGAGACAAGGCAGAGAUUGGGGUGUGCCAGCUACACACCGAGGGAUGCACCAUAGGCUGGAAGAGGCUGGAAGGACCCUCCCCUAGAGCUUUCAGAGUCUCUGCCAAUACCUUGAUUUUGGACUUCUGGCUUCCAGAAGUCUAAGAGCAUAUGCAUUCUGUUCUUUUAAGCCACCCAGUUUGUGGUCAUUUGUGAGGGCAGCCCUAGCAACAGAGGAGAGAGGGUCAGAGGCAAAAAAAUCUACCCAGAGCAUACCUGCACGCAUUCAACACAGGGAAGGAUACCACCUGCCCAGGGCAGCUUCUAGCAUCUAAUGAGAAAAUGCAUCAAAGUCCCUGAACGCACCACAAAGCGCUACACCACUGAGCUGGUAUUUAGGAGGAAGGAGAGGUGAGCGCUCUCCAUACCUUUGCAGAAGUAUCUGCCUCCUCCACAACUAUUGAGGGCCCCCGGGGUUCACUCCUUUCCCGCUGGUCAUCCUAUGAACCAGCAGCAUCCCAUCAGGUGGCGUGAUCAGUUCAGGUCAGCACUUCAAAGUGACCAGAGCCCAGGCAGAAGGGAGGAAGAGGUUUCACUAGUUUGCUAAAAAUAAGGCUCAGGGGUUAUCUACAGGUUUCAAUUAGCCAAGAGAGCAGGUGGCUCCGUUACCUUCAAUAAUCAAGACGGGGAUGUAGGUCCCCAGGUAAAUGAUACUUUGCACCCGAGCCACCUUCCUGCAGAGGACACCCAGCCUGUGCCUCUCCCUCCGGGCAGACACAGCUGCCACUCCCCACACCUUCUGGGACGAUGAUGGCCAUGGUGCCCUUGGGAACAGCGGGCGGCGUGCCGUGCGCUGUAGUUGAGCCCCGCCUGUGCCGGUGACUCCACACCCACAGAGAAAAUUUAGGGUUGUACUCCUCUUCGUGGGUACCACUCAGCCCUGUUGUGCCAACUCAAAGCACCUUUGAAGUCCCCGGGGCCUGCGUAUCAAUGAACCCUGAGAAGCGAGCUCUAACUGCCAAUUUCCAUCAUUCACAAGGACUUCAAAAAGAUGAGGCAGGGCAGGAAGUUCAAAAAGACUGUGCCUGCGAACUGCAGCGUGCAAUCUCAGAAAUUAUAGGCACUGCCUUGUCACGCGCGACAUACUGAGCAGGUGCUUUUGCCAAAUGCCUCUGCUUGCCAAGAAAUCCCUGCCGAGGAUUAAGGGAACGGGCCAGUUCCCUAAGCAUUUCUUGUUCUUCUAUUCCCCCUAAAUUUCUAGCACUGAAAAAAAAAAAAAAAAAAA